rnacentral:rRNA from 1 species
CAGCCUACGGGAGGCAGCAGUGAGGAAUAUUGGUCAAUGGGCGCAAGCCUGAACCAGCCAAGUCGCGUGAGGGAUGACGGUCCUAUGGAUUGUAAACCUCUUUUGUCGGGGAGCAAGGCCCGCCACGUGUGGCGGGAAGGAGAGUACCCGAAGAAAAAGCAUCGGCUAACUCCGUGCCAGCAGCCGCGGUAAUACGGAGGAUGCGAGCGUUAUCCGGAUUUAUUGGGUUUAAAGGGGGCGUAGGCGGAAGGUUAAGUCAGCGGUCAAAUGUCGGGGCUCAACCCCGUCGUGCCGUUGAAACUGAG